rnacentral:rRNA from 1 species
UCAAGUUAUUAAGGGUGCAGGGCGGAUGCCUUGGCACUAGGAGCCGAUGAAGGACGUGAUAAGCUGCGAUAAGCUUCGGGGAGUUGCACGUAAACUUUGAUCCGAAGAUUUCCGAAUGAGGAAACUCACUUAGAGUAAUGUCUAAGUAUCAUUAAGUGAAUACAUAGCUUAAUGAGGGGAACUCAGGGAACUGAAACAUCUAAGUACCUGAAGGAAGAGAAAGAAAUUCGAUUCCGUAAGUAGCGGCGAGCGAACGCGGAUUAGCCCAAACCAAUAAAGUUUUCUUUAUUGGGGUUGCGGACAUAUCAUAACGAAGAGGUAUCGUAAUUGAAGAGGUUUGGAAAGACCCACCACAGAAGGUAAUAGUCCUGUAUGUUAAACGAGAAGACUUCAGAUAUGAUCCAGAGUACCACGGGACACGUGAAACCCUGUGGGAAGCAGGAGGGACCACCCUCCAAGGCUAAAUACUACCUAGUGACCGAUAGCGUAUAGUACCGUGAGGGAAAGGUGAAAAGAACCCCGGGAGGGGAGUGAAAUAGAACCUGAAACCCUGCACUUACAAGCUGUGGAAGCACAUUUCUUGUGUGACCGCGUACUUUUUGUAGAACGGGCCAACGAGUUACGUUAAGUAGCAAGGUUAAGCACUUAAGGUGCGGAGCCGUAGCGAAAGCGAGUUUUAACUGAGCGUUCAGUUACUUGACGUAGACCCGAAACCGGGCGACCUACCCAUGAGCAGGAUGAAGCGAAAGUAAAAUUUCGUGGAGGUCCGAACCCACGAGCGUUGAAAAGCUCGGGGAUGACUUGUGGGUAGCGGUGAAAUUCCAAUCGAGCCCGGAGAUAGCUGGUUCUCCCCGAAAUAGCUUUAGGGCUAGCCUCAAGGUGAGAGAUACGGAGGUAGAGCACUGAAUGUCCUAGGGGGUAUUGCACCUACCGAAGACUAUCAAACUCCGAAUGCCGUCAUCUUAUACUUGGGAGUCAGACUGUGGGUGAUAAGAUUCAUAGUCGAAAGGGCAACAGCCCAGAUCGUCAGCUAAGGUCCCUAAAUGUAAGUUAAGUGGUAAAGGAUGUGGGAUUGCACAGACAACCAGGAUGUUGGCUUAGAAGCAGCCACUCAUUCAAAGAGUGCGUAAUAGCUCACUGGUCGAGUGAUCCUGCGCCGAAGAUUUCCGGGGCUAAAACUUACUACCGAAGCUACGGCAUCAGUAAUGAUGGGUAGGGGAGCUUCCCAUACGGGUUGAAGCAUGACCGUAAGGACAUGUGGACAGUAUGGGAGUGAGAAUGUUGGCAUGAGUAGCGAGAUGUGGGUGAGAAUCCCACAGGCCGUAAACCCAAGGUUUCCAGGGGAAGGUUCGUCCGCCCUGGGUUAGUCGGGACCUAAGCUGAGGCCGAAAGGCGUAGGUGAUGGACAACAGGUUGAUAUUCCUGUACUACCGAUAACCAUUUGAGAGAAGGGAUGACACAGUAGGAUAAGCUAAGCACACUGUUGGUUAUGUGUGCCCAAGCAUUGAGGCAGUCAAAGUAGGCAAAUCCGCUUUGAUAAUGCUGGGAUGUGAUGGGGAGCGAAAUUUAGUAGCGAAGUAGCUGAUUUCACACUGUCAAGAAAAGUCUCUAUCGAGGUUAAAGGUACCCGUACCGCAAACCGACACAGGUGGGUGAGGAGAGUAUCCUAAGGCCAGCGAGAGAACUGUUGUUAAGGAACUCGGCAAAAUGACCCCGUAACUUAGGGAUAAGGGGUGCCACCAUCCGGUGGCCGCAGAGAAUAGGCCCAAGCGACUGUUUACCAAAAACAUAGGUUUCUGCUAAGUCGCAAGACGAUGUAUAGGAGCUGACGCCUGCCCGGUGCUGGAAGGUUAAGGGGAUCUGUUAGAGCAAUCGAAGCAGUGAACUUAAGCCCCAGUAAACGGCGGCCGUAACUAUAACGGUCCUAAGGUAGCGAAAUUCCUUGUCGGGUAAGUUCCGACCCGCACGAAAGGCGUAACGAUUUGGGCACUGUCUCAACAAUAGACUCGGUGAAAUUGUAAUUCCGGUGAAGAUGCCGGAUACCUGCGACAGGACGGAAAGACCCCAUGGAGCUUUACUGUAGCUUGACAUUGGGUCUUGGUACUACAUGUACAGGAUAGGUGGGAGGCUUUGAAACCAGGACGCCAGUUUUGGCGGAGCCAUCCUUGGGAUACCACCCUUGUAGUACUGGGACUCUAACCAUAGGCCAUGAAUCUGGUCUUGGGACACUGUCAGGUGGGCAGUUUGACUGGGGCGGUCGCCUCCCAAAAGGUAACGGAGGCGCUCAAAGGUUCUCUCAGUACGGUCGGAAAUCGUACGUAGAGUGUAAAGGCAAAAGAGAGCUUGAUUGCAAGACAUACAGGUCGAGCAAGGAUGAAAAUCGGACUUAGUGAUCCGGUGGUUCUGCGUGGAAGGGCCAUCGCUCAACGGAUAAAAGCUACCCUGGGGAUAACAGGCUUAUCUCCCCCAAGAGUCCACAUCGACGGGGAGGUUUGGCACCUCGAUGUCGGCUCAUCACAUCCUGGGGCUGUAGUAGGUCCCAAGGGUUGGGCUGUUCGCCCAUUAAAGUGGUACGCGAGCUGGGUUCAGAACGUCGUGAGACAGUUCGGUCCCUAUCCGUCGCAGGCGUAGGAAAUUUGAGAAGACCUGUCCUUAGUACGAGAGGACCGGGAUGGACGUACCUCUGGUGUACCAGUUGUUCUGCCAAGGGCAUGGCUGGGUAGCUAUGUACGGAAUGGAUAAGCGCUGAAAGCAUCUAAGCGCGAAGCCAACUUCAAGAUAAGAUUUCCCACCGUAAGGGUAAGACCCCAGAAAGACUAUCUGGUUGAUAGGUCGAAGGUGUAAGUGCAGCAAUGUAUUUAGCUUAUCGAUACUAAUAGGUCGAGGACUUGACCAA